UAAUACGGAGGGUGCAAGCGUUAUCCGGAAUCACUGGGUUUAAAGGGUGCGUAGGCGGGGAAUUAAGUCAGUGGUGAAAUGUAGUCGCUUAACGACUAACGUGCCAUUGAUACUGGUUUUCUUGAGUUAUAGUGAGGUUGGCGGAAUGAGACAUGUAGCGGUGAAAUGCUUAGAUAUGUCUUAGAACACCGAUUGCGAAGGCAGCUGACUGGCUAUAUACUGACGCUGAGGCACGAAAGCGUGGGGAUCAAACAGG
rnacentral:rRNA from 1 species